rnacentral:rRNA from 1 species
GACGAACGCUGGCGGCGUGCCUAAUACAUGCAAGUAGAACGCUGAAGAGAGGAGCUUGCUCUUCUUGGAUGAGUUGCGAACGGGUGAGUAACGCGUAGGUAACCUGCCUUGUAGCGGGGGAUAACUAUUGGAAACGAUAGCUAAUACCGCAUAACAAUGGAUGACACAUGUCAUUUAUUUGAAAGGGGCAAUUGCUCCACUACAAGAUGGACCUGCGUUGUAUUAGCUAGUAGGUGAGGUAACGGCUCACCUAGGCGACGAUACAUAGCCGACCUGAGAGGGUGAUCGGCCACACUGGGGCUGAGACACGGCCCAGACUCCUACGGGAGGCAGCAGUAGGGAAUCUUCGGCAAUGGGGGCAACCCUGACCGAGCAACGCCGCGUGAGUGAAGAAGGCUUUCGGAUCGUAAAGCUCUGUUGUAAGUCAAGAACGAGUGUGAGAGUGGAAAGUUCACACUG